GACGAACGCUGGCGGCGUGCUUAACACAUGCAAGUCGAGCGGAAAGGCCCUUCGUGGUACUCGAGCUGCGAACGGGUGAGUAACACGUGAGUAACCUGCCCCAGACUUUGGGAUAACCCUCGGAAACGGGGGCUAAUACCGGAUACGACACAGCUUCGCAUGGGGUCUGUGUGGAAAGUUUUUCGGUUUGGGAUGGGCUCGCGGCCUAUCAGCUUGUUGGUGGGGUGAUGGCCUACCAAGGCGACGACGGGUAGCCGGCCUGAGAGGGCGACCGGCCACACUGGGACUGAGACACGGCCCAGACUCCUACGGGAGGCAGCAGUGGGGAAUAUUGCACAAUGGGCGGAAGCCUGAUGCAGCGACGCCGCGUGAGGGAUGACGGCCUUCGGGUUGUAAACCUCUUUCAGCAGGGACGAAGCGUAAGUGACGGUACCUGCAGAAGAAGCGCCGGCCAACUACGUG
rnacentral:rRNA from 1 species